rnacentral:lncRNA from 1 species
UGAAUGGAAAAAAUAGGGUGAUGUUUGGUUUAUAAUUGAAACAAGAAUGCAAAAUGAAAUUAAAUUAUAUUAGAAUCGAAAAUAAGUGAUGGAUCAUUUAAAAAUAUUUGGUUUAUUAUUAGAAUAAAAAUUGGAGUGGACAAUUGGGGCAUGUAUGAUUUUGAAAGAGAGUUCAUGUUAAAAGAGAAGAGAGUGAUGACGGAGAGGAGGGAGAAGUGCCUGCGAGUAGGGAUGUCAAUGGGUAUGGAUAUCCGAAAUUUUAUCUGAACCCGAACCCGAAUGAAACGGAUAUAUCCGAUACUAAAUGGAUAUGGAUUCGGAUAUGGAUAUCGAAAAUAAAAACUCGACGGAUAUUGAUUCGGAUAUUAAUUUUGACUGUACCCGACCCGAACCCAAACCCGACCCGAUCCCGAAUUUAUUUUGUAUUAUAUAUAAUAUAUAUAAAAAUUUGAUGUUAUAUUUGAAUUUGUAUUUUAAAAAUUUAGAUUUAAUAUAAUUUAUUUUGAAAUAUUGAAAAAAGAAAUAAUUGUUUCGGGUUCAAAUUUUCGGGUUUGGGUUCAGGUUUCGAAUUUUUGGUCUGAUUUGGGUUUGGAUAUGAAUUUUUAAAAUCCGUCGGGUUCGGGUUCGGGUUCGGGUUUUUGAAAAUCCGCUCCGAAUCCGACCUAUUGACAUCUCUACCUGCGAGACAGGGUUUGAGCGAUUUGCUCUGGAAUAGGUCAAUCUGGAAUUCAAAGCUAGAUUGAACCAUAAAUGAAUUGGGUCAUUCUCAUUGUAAAGUACGUGUAAUGGAAAUCUAAAUUUGAUUAUGUAAAAUAAAUAAUAACUAUCGAAAUUAAUAAAUUUCAUUUCAAUUAUGUAGUCCAAAAUAGUUGAACCAAACAAGCUAUAAAUGUAUUGCCAUGUACGGAUGAAAAAUUGUAAUCUAGCUACCGGAAGUUCAAGGUAGGCAUGGGUUAAAUAUUGCAACAGAUCUGCGUAUCCAGAUAAGUGAUUACUAUAUUAAACCAUUUUACUCGCUUCUAACUAUUAGAUUGAAUCACCGACCGUUUCUAGAGCAAGUGGCAAAGGGCUUGGUGGUUGGUACCCGAGACCCAAAUUCGAAUCAUAGUUGAUUCACAUUUCCAGCUAAGUUUAUUUCUAAAUAAAAUAAACAAAGCGGAUAGCGUACUAUCUAUCUCUCAAAAAAAAAAAAAACUAUUAGAUUGAAUCUUAAAUUAUAGUACGAGUGUGAUAAAUUUUAUGUAGGUUAACAAUAUAGAAAAUAAGGCGGAAAUUGGGAUAACUUCGUACCCUAUCUACAGCUUAUUAUUUUUAUCACUUAGGUAUCGUUUGGUUCGGGGAUAAGAAAAAAGUGGCUAUUCCAGGAAUAGGUAUAAAUUGAGGUAUAAGCGAGGAUUAGAUCAAUUUUGCGUUUGGAUGAAAAUUGGGUUAUUUCUGGAAUAAAAAAAAUAGCGUUUGGUUAGGUAAGAUGGAAUAAGAAAGAUAAUGGGUUUUGUAAAUAAAAAAUAAUGAUAUUAUCCACUUAUUAUAUUUGAAUUUGAAUUUUUAAAUUUUUAAAUUUAUAUUUCUAAAUUUAAAAUU